GAUGUAGCUUAGUGGUAGAGCACUUGUCUAGCAUGUGAGAUGCCCUGGGUUCCAUCCCCAGAACAAUA
rnacentral:tRNA from 1 species